UUCACUAACAAAUUCAACUAAUUUCUUUAAUUCACUAACAAAUGCAACAAAUUUCUUUAAUUCACUAACAAAUGCAACAAAUUUCUUUAAUUCACUAACAAAUUGAACUAAUUUCUUUAAUUCAAUAACAAAUUCAACUAUUUUAUUUAAUUCACUAAAAAUUCAAGGAAUUUCAUUAAUUCACUAAGAAAUUCAACACAUUUCUUUAAUUGACUAACAAAUUCAACGAAUUUCUUUAAUUCACUGAUGAGUCGAUAUUUUACUGACUGCACUUAGUUUAUUGUACCGGAUUUAAUAAAGGAAUUGUGCUUAAUUGUCCGAUAUUUUUCUGUUUCUGUUAAUUGUGUUUAAUUUAGCCAGAAAUUAUAAUUUGAAUUAAUUUGAAUAUUCUGAGCUAUUUAUUUGCAAUUUUAAAUACAAGAAAAUUGUUGGAUAAUAUUUUGGGGAUUAAAACGAAUUGCCAUAUCAAUUUUGUUCUAAAUGUGAAGGGAAUUGUGAAAUUAAUUUUUGGAAGAAGCAUGGAUGUGUCACGCCCCUUGGUAAUCUAAUGAAGCAGCAGCAAAGUAAAUAAAAUGGGAGGUGCAGCACUUUGCAACACACACGGCCCCCACUUGCACAUGGAGAUGGGCUAGGAUAUAUAGCAAUUGAUUAAAUAAAGGAGUGCUAACCCACCUAAAGGAGUUGUUGCUAUUUGCAUCACUUUUGCUUAAUUAGAAAAGUUGGCCAAUAGAAGUGGGGUAUCACAUGAAGAAUAGCACUCACGGUUUUCACACAUUGCAACACACAAGAAGCAACAACAUUUAUCAUGGCUGCCCAUUAAUUUUCAAACAGCCAAGUGCAUCAACUCUUCAAUGUGCAGGAGCUUGGAGGGGCAUCACGCAUGCAGCCUUGCAGCCCAUCAUCUUCACCAACACGUUCCAGCACAUGGAUUUGAGAAACAUGCUUCACUCCACAUUCACACGUUCAUUACCAGCUGCUGCAACGUCCAACUCCCAUCCAUCUUCACACCCACUUGCAUCACCGUUCAGGAAAAGAUAGAAACAACAUCCAGAAGCUUGGCCCAAGCUUUCUCCAUGCAUGAGCAAAUCACGGUCCAUGGCAGCAAAGAGAAGCAUGUUUUGACUGAAAUACAUGAAGCAAAUCAUGGCCCACCAACUACAAGAAGUAGCUUCCAUGCUUCACAGACAAAGUGCUGACGUCUUGCAAGAUGACGUCUUAGAGCAUCUCAUCCAUCCAGCCAGCUACCUUUGGAUUUUAGUGAACACCUUCCCCCAUUUUCAACUUAAGAUGUCCCACAUUCAGCCUAUAAAUGAGGCACAAGACAGAUCCAAGAGAGGGGGGGGAAUCCAAGGAGGGAUCUAGGGAGAAUGGAGAGCUGGGAAGUAAUUUUUGUGUAGAAGAAUUUCCAUAAGUUUUUCUUCAAAGCUCUCUUUGCUGAGAGAACAUCUUAUGUCUUGUAACAUUCUAUUUCAAAGUUUGAAUGCAUAUUCUGUUUAUGUUAUCUUACUCUCUGUACGUGAUUUUGAAAACAUAACUGCAACCACACCAGAGGUCCAAAUGGUACGUUUUAUAUGUCAUAUGAAAGAUAUUUGAGUCUACUUUCCAUGAAAAAAAACCUCAUCUCAUUUAGAGUUCUGUAGAAAAAGUUAUGGGUAAAACAUUGAGCAAAGGUCAGAGCUGUCCAGUUUUCGGAUUUUUGUGUUUUGGGUGUUUCUGUACGCGAUUUUAAAAAAAUAACUGCAACCACACCAGAGGUCCAAAUGCUACGUUUUAUAUGUCAUAUGAAAGAUAAUUGAGUCUAUUUUCCAUGAAAAAAAACCUCAUCUCAUUUAGAGCUCUGUAGAAAAAGUUAUGGGUAAAACAUUGAGCAAAGGUCAGAGCUGUCUAGAAAGGAAUGGGUAUCACGUUUUCUUGUGUUUGAAUGAAGGGAAAAUAUUUUCUUAUCAUUUUGCUUCUUGUGCAGUAAAAAAUGAAUAAUCUUUUCUAGAAUUUCUUUGGGUUCUCACGGUUUUCACUUUUAUUUGGUCAAGCAAAAUAUUUUUCUUUUCUUUUAAGAUCAUUCAUGUGCUCACGGUUUCAACUUCUUGAAAGCAAAGUUCAUGUUUCUUUUCUUCAAUUUAUUUUAUGAAAAGUAAUUGUUUUUCUAGAAGAAGUGGGGUAAUGGCUGAAAAAUUUCCUUGACUUGGAUGGACACAAAUACAUUGGUAAGAGACAAAAGACACUUCCAAAUUCUUCUUAACAUGACUCAUGGUGGGACUUGGUGAUGAGAUGUUCCUUUGCCUAAUUGACUAAAAGAAAUGAAAAUACUAAAUGAUGGUGCAAGGUUAUGAGGUAAAUUCUAAAAUUGAUGCAAUCUUAAUUAAUGAAACACUGAGAACUCCAUAAGUCAUGAACAAAGAAAAUUAAUUUGUAGCAUUUUCAGUUUCUUUAAACACUUGGUGACAUGAAAAUAAAAAAAAAAGAAUUUAUUUCUGUUUUUAAUUUAUUUUACUGAGUUUGUUGAGUUUGUUUUUAAUUUAGUAUAGUAUUUUCCGUGUUUUUAAUAAUGUUUGGUUGUAUUUAAUUCCAAUUUUAAUUUAGUUUAAUUUUUUUUCUUGCCAUUUAAUUUUGCUGCAAUUUUAAUUUUUGUAUUACCAUUUAAUUCUUGCCAUUUAAUUUCAGUUUUACAGUUUUUUGUAUUUUCUAUUUUGCUGUAUUCUAUUUCUUUUACUAUUUCUGUCUCUAAAUUCCUUUAUUUUAUUUUCUAUUUCUUUUAAUAUUUCUGUAUUAAUUGAAUUUCUGUCUCUAAAUUCCUUUAUUUUCUGUACUGUUAUUUUAAUUUCUGUUAUACUGUUUUUACUAUUUACUAAUUUUCUUUAUUUACUAUUUUACUGUGUUCUGUAUUAACUGUUUUCUGUAUUUCGAAUUUUACUGUAGCAGUUCAGUUUUUACUGUUUUAAUUUUUAUGCAUGGUAAAAUGUUUUGUUGCAUUUGAUUUCAUUUUAAUUAAAUUUAACUACGUUUUUACAUCUGCAUUUUUAAUUGCAUCUGCAUCCUUAAUUUUAAUUUUUCUGCACACAAAAAAAAAAACAUUUCAAAACCCCCCCACUUUCUGUAAGACUUAAUUUCUAAACCGCAAUUUGGUCCUUGAGAGACGACCUAGGAGUCACUUCCUAGCUAUACUACAUAUUUAAUUGCAAUCAAAUUUGUGUGGGUUGCGACGCCCCAUCAUUCACUAACAAAUUCAACGAAUUUCUUUAAUUCACUAACAGAUUCAACGAAUUUUUUUAAUUCACUAACAAAUUCAACUAAUUUCUUUAAUUCACUAACAAAUUCAACUAAUUUCUUUAAUUCACUAACAAAUCCAACACAUUUCU
rnacentral:lncRNA from 1 species